GAUCAUGGCUCAGGAUGAACGCUGGCGGCGUGCUUAACACAAUGCAAGUCGAACGAAGCACUUUAUUUGAUUCCUUCGGGACUGAUUAUUUUGUGACUGAGUGGCGGACGGGUGAGUAACGCGUGGGUAACCUGCCUCACACUGGGGGAUAACAGUUAGAAAUAGCUGCUAAUACCGCAUAAGCGCACAGUUCCGCAUGGAACAGUGUGAAAAACUCCGGUGGUGUGAGAUGGACCCGCGUCUGAUUAGCCAGUUGGCGGGGUAACGGCCCACCAAAGCGACGAUCAGUAGCCGGCCUGAGAGGGUGAACGGCCACAUUGGGACUGAGACACGGCCCAAACUCCUACGGGAGGCAGCAGUGGGGAAUAUUGCACAAUGGGGGAAACCCUGAUGCAGCGACGCCGCGUGAGUGAAGAAGUAUUUCGGUAUGUAAAGCUCUAUCAGCAGGGAAGAAAGUGACGGUACCUGAAUAAGAAGCCCCGGCUAACUACGUG
rnacentral:rRNA from 1 species